GGGGGCGUAGCUCAGCUGGGAGAGCGCUGGCAUGGCAUGCCAGAGGUCACGGGUUCAAGUCCCGUCGCCUCCACCA
rnacentral:tRNA from 2 species